AGUGAACGCUGGCGGUAGGCCUAACACAUGCAAGUCGAACGGCAGCACAGAGGAGCUUGCUCCUUGGGUGGCGAGUGGCGGACGGGUGAGGAAUACAUCGGAAUCUACUCUGUCGUGGGGGAUAACGUAGGGAAACUUACGCUAAUACCGCAUACGACCUACGGGUGAAAGCAGGGGACCUUCGGGCCUUGCGCGAUUGAAUGAGCCGAUGUCGGAUUAGCUAGUUGGCGGGGUAAAGGCCCACCAAGGCGACGAUCCGUAGCUGGUCGGGGAGGAGGAUAGGCCACACUGGAACUGAGACACGGUCAAGACUCCUACGGGAGGCAGAAGUGGGGAAUAUUGGACAAGGGGCGCAAGCCUGAUCCAGCCAUACCGCGUGGGUGAAGAAGGCCUUCGGGUUGUAAAGCCCUUUUGUUGGGAAAGAAAUCCAGCUGGCUAAUACCCGGUUGGGAUGACGGUACCAAAAGAAUAAGCACCGGCUAACUUCGUGCCAGCAGCCGCUGUAA
rnacentral:rRNA from 1 species